AGAGCAUAGAGGUGAAAGUCCAGCAUCCAAGGAGAAGCUCAUUCAGAAAGCAAGAUGUAUUAUUUUACUUCCUGCACAGAUGACCAUCUCCUGAACUAAUGCUUGCAAUUUCAGUGCCACACUAAGGAUAUUCUUUGGUUUUAGGCAAGGACUAUUUGCUAUGAAUUAUGUGAUUAUUUUUUAUUUGUGCUACAGAUGAAAUAACGUAUUUCCAUCAGAAUUUAAACAGGUGUGAAGAUGCAAGAAAGGUCACUGGUCCUUUGUUCCACUUCUCUGAGCUCUUGUUGGAUGGCUGCCAUUUCUCAUCCUGCUUUGAUGAUUUCCAGCUUCAUUUGAGGAGCUGCUCUCUGCAGAUCGUGUAAUGAGGAGGAUUUCCUCAUGCAUCCUUUUCUUUAAGUAUGGGGGUGGAUGUUUCCUCCGUUGAACAGUGACUGCGUUUAAUAGUUUUGUUUCUUUAAUUAUUAGUGGUGAACUUUCUCUCUGUUGCUCUUGUGUGAAGUGACAGUGCAUAGCAUCUGUCCUGCAGAAAGAAAAAAGACGAAUACUGGCAAUGUGUUCUGUAGGAAGUGGAUCUCAUGGACACUGGUCCAUCUCGCACCAGAUCCUGCUUGGCUCAUUUUGAGAUGCUUUCCUCAGUGCUUUACUAAUAUUACAGCUGGACUGAGCUUUGUAAAAUCUGCUGCUAAGAGUGGAAAGUCAAAAUGUUGCAUAGAAGGGAUGCUUUAAUUUCUCUGUGCCGUUUGAAAAGGAAGAAAGAUGGGGGAGGGGGGAAGAGGAAAUGCUCAGCUGGAGGCUGGAUGACUGCAGGCCUGGUGCGGCUCCUCUGGCCUUCAGCUUGGUGGGGUUUCCUACUCUGAAAUGAUGCUUCUCUGAAAGGCAAAUCUUAGCAAUUAAACUGAAGUGCAAGCUCUCUUGAAUCUUUGUUUUGUGUGGGUAAAGCCUGUCUACAAUAAGUUUCAGUAUUCUUUCAGUAGGAAACCAUGUUUUUGUAGUCCAGAAUGCAAAUUUAUUCCUCACCAUCCUAUUCUGAUGAAGAAGUGAUAGGACACAUUGAGCUACAUGCUAUGCAUAUUCCAAGGAGAACAACUAAAUCUAUAUGCAAAGAUGUUUCCAAUAUGCCUGUACUCAGUCUGAAAGGAAAUAGUAUUUUUUGAUCCUAUUUAUGGGCAGUGGUCAUCCAUCCUCCUGCAGGCAUGGUACUGGUAACAGGACCAACAAGCAGAGGUGAGCAGAUGUGCUGCAGGAGUGCACUUACUAUCCUUUAUACUCAUUCACUGCAGAGCUGUUACUGCAGAACACAUUACUGGCUCUGUAACAUACGGCUUGUAGGCAUGAUAUUGCCUGAAAAGGGUCUUCAACUUGGGCUCAAUGAGUCUGACAUGUUGAAAGGACAAAUGCCAACAUUUAGUUUCCUUCCCUUGUGUUGAUUUUCCACAAGUCUCUGAAAAAAACUGGGGUUUGGACAUGGUUGUAGUUCUGUUCCAACUGCUGUUUUCCAAAUUGCAUUGGUUAUGUUGGAUGUGGUGCUUCCCCAUGCUUUCAAGAAUAAGACUACGGAGUAAACUAUGUGAUUUUAGUUUUUACCCUUUUGCUUUGCCUUAAGUAAUAUUAGCAAAUACUACAGAGGUAAGUGUAAUUUCAGAAUCUGAAAGGUAUUUCAAUUUUCUGCUUUGCUGUUAUGUCCUUCCUUCCCCCACCCCCCUUUAUUUUCUCCUCUUUUUUUUUUUGGUCUCACACACUUUAGAUAAAUAUCUUUUUUCCAGAUUUAGUUCUACAGCUAUUUAGAUUAAGUGUGUGUGUGUAUAAGUACAGACUUCUCUGGUAAAAAGUGUAGAAGGGAGGUGCUGGAUUGUCAUAAAACUGAAACCAUCAGUAAAUGGUUGUAGUUUUCAAUUCCUGAACCUCUUGUUGAAAGGUUCUUAUGCCUACAGCAGCUAUGGAAUGGUUUUAAGCCCGUUUUCCUUUUGAAGGCCAACACCAUCACUUCUCUCUUGUAGGACUUCUUCAUAUUUUACAUAUAGAACUUCUGCUAGUAUUCUGCCCCGUUCAGGUUUUUUCAACACAAACACAGAACUGGACUGGAACACACGUUACUGUUUCCCUUUUCCUUCUGUUUUUGCUCUUAGCUUUUGUUAUUGUUCACUUGUUUUAAAUCUUCUGAUGGAGAGAAAGAUUUCUGCAUGAUGUAGAAGAUCUCAGCCACCUGAAGAGGCCUUCCUAGGGGUCUGAAAUGAUAUCACAGUGAGGUAGCAAGUCCUCAGAGGUGAGAAUGACCUGCUUUCCUGUGCUUCUACAGCUCCACAAAGCAAGGUAGUGACCCUUCCUGGUCCUCCAGCAGGAUGGUCCCUUCCCCACACUUCAGACAGUGCUGAGACAGUGAGCAUCUUUCCUGUUCAUCCUGGACAAGAUCUUCUGACUUCUGCAGUGUGUUGUGGGUUGGGAGAAAGGGCAAGUAAGGAGUCAGAAGUUAGAGUGUCUGCAUCCAACCUGCCAUCACAUGGGGUUGGUCUCUUCUCACUGCUGACAGGUGACAGGAUGAGGGGAAAUGGCCUCAAGUUGCACCAGGGGAGGUUUAGGUUGUAUAUCAGGAAAAACUUCUUUACAGAAAGGGUUGUUAAGCACUGGAAUGGGCUGCCCAGGGAGGUGGUUAAGUCACCAUCCCUGGAUGUGUUUAACAACUGUUUGGGUGUGCUUAGGGCCAUGAUUCAGUGGAGGGUUGUUAGUUAGGGUAGUAUGGUUAGGUCAUGGUUGGACUUGUUGACCUUUAAGGUUUUUUCUUAUCUGAGCAAUUCUAUGGUGAGCAGGCAACAACGAGAUGUGCCAGCAGCCAGCAUGCACCAGGUGCCAGAGUGCUGAGGAAGGAACACCAGCGGUGAUCUGCUCUUCCAGGAACCCUCUAGCUGAAGAAACCCAAUGGAGCGUUUGGAACAAUUUAAAUAUUUCACAAUCAGAUACUAAAUCUGCUGCUUUCCCCAAGAGAUGCUUGAGGAGAAUGCCCUGUCCUUGACUGGCUGGUGACACUGAGCUGGCUGCUUCAUUAAUCGCAGUGCCGCCGGGCAGGGUGUCGUAAAGCCACUGCUCAGCAUUUGUAAGUGGGGACUGCAUAUUUAUACUCAGCGUUGUGCUGUGCCAUUAAUUUACCAGAACACAAACUGAAGUGGUAGUCAUUAGCAGUGUCCAUUUAUUAUAGCCAUUUUAUUUUUCAUGUCCUUUAAACAUUAAUCGCUCUUUUUAAUAGGUUAGAGUUGGUUGAACAGAUGUGAAAUAAAUGAUAUAGGUCUGUGAUCAGUAAAUGCAUUUUAACUUAUUUUCCUCCUUUUUUUUUUAAUAUCCCACCUAUGCAAACACACCGUUUAAGAUUAUUCCAAGUGCCUAAUAGACUCCCAUGGCAAAGUGUCACCAACAGUUGUUGCUGGCUUUAAAAUCAAUCAGCGGUGUGAUGUGUCUGGCACAGAGUGGUUCAGCAGUGGGUCGGCUAUGGUGGGAAGCACAGGGAGGGAAAUGCUGCUCGUUGUAGCUGUCAUACACAGCCACGUUGCAUGGGGCAGGAAACCACUCACUGAGGACUCUUUGUGGGAUGGAAACCUGUUUGGAUCUGUAUUGAAGUUGGCUGUGGGUAAUGACAUUCAGUUGGUCAGAUGGCAGUUACUUCUGAAGCUUACAUGACAGUAAAUAAUUUAAUUCCCUUAAUGCUGUUGUAUUACCUAAUCAGAAGAAAAAGUAGGCAAUCAAACAUUUGGAUAGCAACUCACCAUCCCUGAUAACCUUAAGUAAUCACGUGUUAUCUGGAGGAAUUCUUGGAGCAGUCAUUGCAAGCAACCUUCAAUAACAAAAUUAAUGGUUGUGGUUAUGGCCUAAAUUCUUGAUUUCUGUAUUUUCUCACUUCUCUUUAACUGAUUUGCGUUCUGUGUGUGCAGGGGGGAGGGGUGGGAUGCCACUCAAAUUUAUCAUAAUGUGUCUUUCCAAGAAAGCACAAAAAAAAAAUGCUGAAGUGGGUUCUGAAAGCAUCUGCUGCGAUACUUUGAGAGUCAGGAAGCUCUUGACCGUUUGAUUCUGUUAUGUACAAAUGCUUGGGUCACUGUGUCCUCAUGUGACGCAGGAGUGUCACUGUGCUCCUGGAGCAGGGCUGUCUUUGUAGAUGCACAUAGGAAUUGACCUACUCAGGGCCUUGUAAACAGAGUUCAGUCCCAAAAGCGAAGCCUUAAAGACUCCAGCAUUCCUCCAUAACCAAUUUCAGACCCUGGAGGAUGAGAAAAUAACCGUGUAGGAAAAAGAUUACCAAGCAAUUAUUUCUAAUUGUUUCUAUUUCUGCCUGCUUAGAAAACCAGGAAACAGGAUUUAGUUAUGAACAAUUGCUUUAAUAAAGUCAAAUGAAGUUUCACCUUGUUGGAAGAUGGGAAGAGAGAAGGACUGGGAAAUCAGAGAAGUGCUGUUCUGAAAUACUUGACCUUGAUGAGUUUCUAAAGCUGUAAGACAUCUCAAUUUCAAACACCACUGAUUCUUCAUCCAUUCAUCCUACUUGGAACUUGUGCAUUCACAGGCAAGGCCGUACAUACAUUCAGAGAAUC
ensembl:lncRNA